rnacentral:rRNA from 1 species
CGUGGGGGAUAACGUAGCGAAAGCUACGCUAAUACCGCAUACGAUCUAUGGAUGAAGCGGGGAUCGCAAGACCUCGCGCGAUUGGAGCGGCCGAUAUCAGAUUAGGUAGUUGGUGAGGUAAAGGCUCACCAAGCCGACGAUCUGUAGCUGGUCUGAGAGGACGACCAGCCACACUGGGACUGAGACACGGUCCAGACUCCUACGGGAGGCAGCAGUGGGGAAUUUUUGGACAAUGGGCGCAAGCCUGAUCCAGCAAUGCCGCGUGCAGGAUGAAGGCCUUCGGGUUGUAAACUGCUUUUGUACGGAACGAAACGGUGAGCUCUAAUACAGUUUGCUAAUGACGGUACCGUAAGAAUAAGCACCGGCUAACUACGUG